rnacentral:rRNA from 1 species
UACGUAGGGGGCAAGCGUUGUCCGGAAUCAUUGGGCGUAAAGAGCGUGUAGGCGGUCCGGUAAGUCGGCUGUGAAAGUCCAGGGCUCAACCCUGGGAUGCCGGUCGAUACUGCCGGACUAGAGUUCGGAAGAGGAGAGUGGAAUUCCUGGUGUAGCGGUGAAAUGCGCAGAUAUCAGGAAGAACACCCGUGGCGAAGGCGGCUCUCUGGGACGGUACUGACGCUGAGACGCGAAAGCGUGGGGAGCGAACAGG